GCCGCCUUAGCUCAGUUGGUAGAGUGACGCAUUAGUAACGCGUAGGUCGCCAGUUCAAUCCUGGCAGGCGGCUCCA
rnacentral:tRNA from 1 species